rnacentral:rRNA from 1 species
AUUGAACGCUGGCGGCAGGCCUAACACAUGCAAGUCGAACGGUAACAGAAAGCAGCUUGCUGCUUUGCUGACGAGUGGCGGACGGGUGAGUAAUGUCUGGGAAACUGCCUGAUGGAGGGGGAUAACUACUGGAAACGGUAGCUAAUACCGCAUAACGUCGCAAGACCAAAGAGGGGGAGCUUCGGGCCUCUUGCCAUCCGAUGUGCCCAGAUGGGAUUAGCUAGUAGGUGGGGUAACGGCUCACCUAGGCGACGAUCCCUAGCUGGUCUGAGAGGAUGACCAGCCACACUGGAACUGAGACACGGUCCAGACUCCUACGGGAGGCAGCAGUGGGGAAUAUUGCACAAUGGGCGCAAGCCUGAUGCAGCCACGCCGCGUGUAUGAAGAAGGCCUUCGGGUUGUAAAGUACUUUCAGCGGGGAGGAAGGGAGUAAAGUUAAUACCUUUGCUCAUUGACGUUACCCGCAGAAGAAGCACCGGCUAACUACGUG